GCCUGAUCAGGUUGAAGUCAGGGGAAACCCUGAUGGAAGACCGAAGCAGUUCUGACGUGCAAAUCGAUUGUCAGAAUUGGGCAUAGGGGCGAAAGACCAAUCGAACCAUCUAGUAGCUGGUUCCCUCCGAAGUUUCCCUCAGGAUAGCUGGUGCAUAUACCGUUUCUAUAAACUUAAUAAAUCUUAUCUGGUAAAGCGAAUGAUUAGAGGCAUUAGGUUCGAAACGUUCUUAACCUAUUCUCAAACUAUAAAUGGGUACGAUAUAAGAGUUUCUUGAUUGAACUCUUAUUUCACGCUUUGUAGCGUACCAUUUCAAACAUUUAUUACAUGUUUGUAAUUUGGUUUAGAUUUAUUGUGCCCAGUGGGCCAAG
rnacentral:rRNA from 2 species